UCUUCUCCUCCUUCUUCCUCUUCUCCUUCCUCUUCUUCUU
rnacentral:ribozyme from 1 species